UGCCUCAUAUUUUGAUAGAGUACUGUGACAUUAUAGAACAUAGCUUUUCCACAAGACAAAAAGAAGAUGGACAAUUACGUCUUCCAAAAUUAAGAACGACACAAGGUCAAUUUUCAUUGUCUUUUGUGGGCAGUGAAUUUUGGAAUAGAUUACCUGUUGAUGUCAGAUUGACAAGGUCU